rnacentral:rRNA from 1 species
CUACGUGCCAGCAGCCGCGGUAAUACGUAUGUCGCAAGCGUUAUCCGGAAUUAUUGGGCUUAAAGGGCAUCUAGGCGGUAUAACAAGUUGAAGGUGAAAAGCUGUAGCUCAACUAUAGUCUUGCCUACAAAACUGUAAUACUAGAGUACUGGAAAGGUGGGUGGAACUACACGAGUAGAGGUGAAAUUCGUAGAUAUGUGUAGGAAUGCCGAUGAUGAAGAUAACUCACUGGACAGAAACUGACGCUGAAGUGCGAAAGCUAGGGGAGCAAACAGGAUUAGAUACCCUGGUAGUCCUAGCUGUAAACGAUGAUUACUGGGUGUGGGGAUGAGAAGUCUCUGUGCCGAAGCAAAAGCGAUAAGUAAUCCGCCUGGGGAGUACGACCGCAAGGUUGAAACUCAAAGGAAUUGACGGGGGCCCGCACAAGCGGUGGAGCAUGUGGUUUAAUUCGAAGCAACGCGAAGAACCUUACCAGGUCUUGACAUCCCUCUGACCGCUCUAGAGAUAGAGUUUUCUUCGGGACA